rnacentral:rRNA from 1 species
CCUACGGUAGGCAGCAGUGAGGAAUAUUGGUCAAUGGCCGGAAGCCUGAACCAGCCAAGCCGCGUGAAGGACGAAUGUGCCACGCAUUGUAAACUUCUUUUGUCAAGGGACAAAAUCAGGCACGUGAGCCUGACCGAGUGUACUUUCAGAAAAAGCAUCGGCUAACUCCGUGCCAGCAGCCGCGGUAAUACGGAGAAUGCGAGCGUUAUCCGGAUUUAUUGGGUUUAAGGGGUGCGUAUGUGGACUGUUAAGUCAGCGGUAAAAGCUCGGGGCUCAACCCAGGCCAGCCGUUGAAACUGGCAGUCUUGAGAUGACGGGAGGUAGGCGGAAUGCGCAGUGUAGCGGUGAAAUGCUUAGAUAUUGCGCAGAACUCCGAUUGCGAAGGCAGCAUACCGGAGGGGAUCUGACGCUGAGGCACGAAAGCGUGGGUAUCGAACAGGAUUAGAUACCCUAGUAGUC